CGGAUUUGGCGGCAAGAUAGCUUUUUAGAGGAACCUGCCCUGUGAACGAUGAUCCGCGAGAGCCUUACUUUACUUUGAAAUCAGUUUGUAUACCGCUGUUGUCAGUUAGAUUUUUGAGAAUAUUUUCUUUUUGGUAAAGCCAAUGACUUCAAGUAAAGGUGCAGCUUAUAGUAAAGUUAGAGGUGGGUUACAUUUAUAAGAAUAAGACGGAUUAAGGAUUUAAUUGACUUAUGAAGGUGGAUUUAACCGUAAAAUUGAAUUAGAUUUGGUGAUAGCUCUAUCUUGUGUACACACCGCCCGUC
rnacentral:rRNA from 1 species